AGAGUUUGAUCCUGGCUCAGAAUGAACGCUGGCGGCGUGCCUAACACAUGCAAGUCGGAUGUGCCGCAAGGUGCAUGGCAGACGGGUGAGUAACGCGUAGGGAAUCUACCUUUUUGUGGGGAAUAACGCUCCGAAAGGAGUGGUAAUACCGCAUGAGACCGCAGACUGGGAUGUUUGUGGUGAAACCUGGGGACCGCAAGGCCUGGGGCAAGAAGAGGAUCCUGCGUCUGAUUAGCUAGUUGGCGGGGUAAUGGCCCACCAAGGCGACGAUCAGUAGCCGGCCUGAGAGGGUGAUCGGCCACACUGGAACUGAGACACGGUCCAGACUCCUACGGGAGGCAGCAGUGGGGAAUUUUGCGCAAUGGACGAGAGUCUGACGCAGCAACGCCGCGUGGGUGAUGAAGGU
rnacentral:rRNA from 1 species